UACGUAGGGUGCGAGCGUUAAUCGGAAUUACUGGGCGUAAAGUGUGCGCAGGCGGCCAUGCAAGUCGAGUGUGAAAGCCCCGGGCUUAACUUGGGAAUUGCGCUCGAAACUACGUGGCUGGAGUGUGGCAGAGGAAGGUGGAAUUCCACGUGUAGCGGUGAAAUGCGUAGAGAUGUGGAGGAAUACCGAUGGCGAAGGCAGCCCCCUGGGCCAAUACUGACGCUCAUGCACGAAAGCGUGGGGAGCAAACAGG
rnacentral:rRNA from 1 species